rnacentral:rRNA from 1 species
AUGUGGCAAGGUCACUUCUCCCCCUCAGCUCCACCCCACCCCACCCACCCAGUCCAUCCCCCGUCGCCCUCACGCUCUUCGUGCUCGCCGCCUCCCUUCGCGUGCUGCCUCAUGGCUUCCAUCGCCGGAUCUGCCGUGUCCUUCGCCAAGCCCGUCAAGGCAAUCAACACGAACUCGCUCUCUUUCUCUGGUCCAAGGAGGGGCAAUGCAUUUCUUCGCCUGCAGCCAGUGCCGAUGAGAUUUGCUGUUUGCUGCUCAGCAAAGCAGGAUACAGUGGAGAAGGUUUGUGAAAUUGUUAAGAAGCAGCUUGCUGUUCCUGAAGGCACUGAAGUUUGCGGUACCACCAAGUUCUCUGACCUUGGAGCUGAUUCACUGGACACGGUCGAGAUUGUGAUGGGCCUCGAGGAGGAGUUCCAGAUCAGUGUGGAGGAGACGAGUGCGCAGGCAAUUGCGACAGUUGAAGAUGCUGCCACGCUCAUCGACAAGCUUGUCUCUGCGAAGUCAUCUUGA